CCUGGUGGCUCAGACGGUAAAGCAUCUGCCUGCAAUGUGGGAGACCAGGGUUCGAUCCCUGAGUCAGGA
rnacentral:tRNA from 1 species